UAAGUACUCCCUCCGUUCCGAAUUACUCGUCAUAGAAAUGGAUGUAUCUGGAUGUAUUUUAGUUCUAGAUACAUCCACUUCUGUGGCGAAUAAUUUGGAACGGGGGGAGUAGAAG
rfam:Triticum aestivum genome assembly, contig: Triticum_aestivum_CS42_TGACv1_scaffold_019171_1AS